rnacentral:sRNA from 1 species
GCCGGGUGCAGUGGCGCACACCUGUAAUCCCAGUGGCUUGGGAGGCUGAGGCAGGAGGAUCGUGAGUUCAAAGCCAGCCUCAGCAACGGUGAGGUGCUAAGCAACUCAGUGAGACCCUGUCUCUA